UACAUUUAGUUUUUUUUUAAAAAAAUUAAAGUGGUUCAACCAAACAAGGCAAUUAGUGACUUGAACAUCAAGUCACCUCAACAAGAAUCAGUCUGGAUAAAUCUUCACAGUUCAUUAAAAGGGUCCCGAACGCAAAGGAACAUCUAACUGAAGUACAGUAAGAGAUGAAAAACAGUGGUUAACAGACAUGUUGAAAUAACUCAGGGUGCAGCAGGAUAUUUGUGGCUGCAAUAACAUGAAAAUGAAUUGAAAAUGCAUCUGUUAAUCUGCUGUCGAGGACAAGCUGUAGACGUGCUACAAGUGUGUCAAGCAAACGGUUUCCUACUUUACUUAACUGACAUCAGAGGACAGGGUCACAGGAUUUUAACACAUUAUAAAGACUGAUCACUGACGCACAUGGUGGCUGUUUCAGAACACACACAAAGACAGAAGAAUGAAUUGAAAUGCAGAGUUGAAUAAAGUCAGAUGAAAUCUACACAGUGGAACUAUUACCUGGUGAACAUACAGUUAGGACCAUAUGUAUUGGUACGGCUAUGUUAUUUUAGCUUUCCAUCAUAGCA